CUCUCAUCUUCGCUUCUAUUCCAGUUUAUCCUCCUCCUAACCCCCUCCCUCUGAUUCCCUCCCUCUAACCGCCUCUCUCUGACACUCUCCUCCUGACUCCCUCCCUUUGAGAAACAUCUACUUAGCUUCAUUUAUCACUUUGUCUCUUCAAUUCUUGUCAGCCAUGGCGUUCUCUGAUGCGAGGAAGGAGCUGGACUGUUCCAUCUGUCUGCACAUUUAUACCAAUCCUGUGACACUGAGAUGUGGACACAACUUCUGCCAGGAAUGUAUAGAAGAUGUUCUGGAUAGACAUGGGAGGUCUGGAAUUUAUUGCUGUCCUGAAUGCAGAGAACAAUUCCAGGUGCGGCCUCAACUUAGCAGGAACAUAACACUGCGCAACAUAGUGGAGAGUUUCCGAUCUACCGCGCAAGAGAAGAAGGAGGAGAAGAAGGAGAGCCAGAUCUUCUGUACACAAUGUAUUCACUCUCCUGUAAUUGCUGUUAAAUCUUGUCUGCAUUGUGAAGCUUCUCUGUGUGACGAUCAUCUGAGAGUCCACAGCAAGUCACCCCAACAUGUCCUAUCUGACCUUACCACUCCCCAGAAGAACAGGAAAUGCUCCGUCCAUGAGAAGAUCCUGGAGUAUUACUGCACAGAGGACUCGGCCUGUCUCUGUGGGUCCUGCAGGCUGCAUGGAGACCAUCAGGAACACCAGGUGGAGGCUCUGGAGGAGGCCUCUGAGAAGAGGAAGGAGAACCUGACCAAUGCUCUGCAGAAGUUGGUUAAAAAGAGAGAGGAGAUGGAGGAAAGCAUCAAGAGUCUGCAGAAGUACAAGAGAAAAGUACAAGACGAUGCAGACGGUGUAACCAAGAGAGUCACCGCCAUAUUCAGAGACAUCAGGAGACAACUGGACAUCCUGGAGAAGAGAAUUCUUAAUAAGAUAUCCAGGCAGGCGGAGAAAGCCUCAUUCCCACCCUCUGAUUUAAUUCAGGAUCUGGAGAUAAAGAAGGACAAUCUGUCCAGGAAGAUUCGUCACAUCGAGGAGAUAUGUAACAUGACGGACCCACUGACUUUCCUACAGGAAUCGGACACAGGUGACUUGUGUGAUACUGAGGAUGGAGAUGAGAAGGACAAAAAGAGAUGCGAUAAACUUCUUAAUGGUGGGGGGGAUCUGAUUGCGACUGAGAUCUUGCCCCUAUUACAUACAGGAUUAUACGAUAUAGUAACAGGGGUAAAUAAAGGGAUAAACAUACCAGAACCUGCAGAAAUAACACUGGAUGAAGACACGGCUCAUAAUAAUGUAUAUCUUAUAGAUGACAGAAAGGCCGCACGCUGGAUAACCAGAAACCUAAAUCGCCCUCAGUUACCAAACAGAUUUACAAUAUUGCCUCAGGUGUUGAGCAGUCAGAGUUUCUCCUCAGGGAGACAUUACUGGGAUGUGGAUGUUGGGGGAUCGUCACAGUGGAGAGUCGGGAUGUGUUUCCCCAGUAUAGACAAGGCACAAUACUAUGCAGACCUUGGAAAUAAUCCUGUGUCCUGGUGUCUGGAGAGGAACGCCAAUCAGUUGUUAGUGAAGCAUGGCUACAAUUCUGCAACCCCUUUAGCUGGUAAUGUCUCAGUAACCAAAGUCAGAAUAAGUCUGGAUUACGAGGCCGGGCAGAUCUCAUUUUUUGAAUUAGGUAUCCCGAUCCGACACCUCCACACCUUCACCGCCACCUUCACUGAACCGAUGCAUGCUGCCUUAUAUCUAGGUGAGGGUUGUAUAAAGAUAUGUGGAGAGAAUCAGGAGGUUUGACACAUUUAUCCCAAGACUGGCGACAUCACCGGCAUUCUGAUUGGUUCACCUAGGAUCAUAUAUAAUCCAUACAGAUGAUUUAUAUAUGAUCCCAGGUCCGCCUAGUGUCCACCUUCCCCCUACUGGCAGAUGCUGUGGUCACUGACAACUCAGAUUUCAGACAACAGCUCCCAGCAUGCCUCAGAACAUGGCUGCACAAGUCUUACCAAGCAGCGCAACAUGGAUUUAUCAAAAGAAAACAUUUUUAAUAAAACACAUAGAUAAGGUAACUGAUAUAUAAUCCAUAUAAUAGUUUAUUGGUGUUAAAUUUGAAUGGAGCACCUAGGGCUGCCUCUAUCCAAAAUCCCAACCUUCUCUUCCUUGUGGUUAUGGCAGCAGUAUUGUGUUAUUAGACAGAAUUAUACAGAGCUCACAUACUAGUUCUCUUUAACUUGCUCGCUGCUUUUCCCAGAAGCUUGCACAGAGCUGGAGGUUCAAUGGCAGACAAGCCCUGCAGUGUUUUACCAUUAGUGCUCCUUCUCUGAUGGGAUACCUGCAACAAAUCCUUUGUGUUGAAAUGGGGACGGGUAUAGAGGGGGGUAAUUAUGGUUGGCAGACCCUUUCAAUUACCACCUCCUUUACUGAAAGCACAGUCAUCCCUUAUCUAUAUCUACAGAACAGAAGCAGAAAGCAAUCUCAGAUAGCACUUCAUAAAAUGAUUUUAUUGUAUAGAGAUGACCUAGAUGAGAUUGUUCCCUAUUAUAUAAAGUGAACCUGUCAUUUCCCCACUCAGGACAAAGUAAUUGGUUUUCUUAUAACUUUUCUGCCACUAAGACCCCGUUCCCAUCUGAGCGAUUUGGAAUCGCAGGCAGAAACAGUAUAAUAUUGUCCGUGUUUCCAGAUGUCGCCAAAAUUGCGACAAAAUCUGCAACAUGCUUUUGUGUGCCAUACCUUCUGAAUGACAUCCCAAACGUGAUGCAAUUUUGCCGCAGUUGAUGUUAGAAAAAAUUGCGCGAAAAUCACAGCAAACCGCACGUGAAAAGACGCGCCUGGCUUAGUGCCAAAUUUUGGUAUCACUUCAAGUAUGACUAUUCUAAUAUAUCACCAUUAUAGAGCAUUCUGUGACGGUGUAUCAUUAUCAUAAUAAUCCAUACGCCACUAUAUUCCUCUUCUAAUGUAACAUUGUUAUAAUCUAUUCUGUUCCAAUGUAUCAUUAUUAUGAACAUUUACUGCUCUGCUGGAUUACUAUUAUAAUCUAUCACUAUUAAUAAGAACAGGUAUUCCAAUGUAUUACUAUUAUUAUCACCAAUCUAAUCUAUAACUAUUAAUAAGAACAGGUAUUGCAUUGUAUCUUUAUUAUUAUCACUAAUCUACUCGCUAUUAAUAGGAACAGGUAUUCCAAUGUAUCGCUAUUAUCAUCCCUUUUCCAAUGUAUCACUAUUAAUAAGAAUAGGUAUUCCCAGGGCUAAGACACGGGGUGGGCAGAGGGGAUGCUUUCCCCAGGCACAUCAGUGUACUAUAGAGAUGGGGGCGCUGUGUGGUGAUCUCAUUUUGGUUACAAGGCUGUCAGGAGGAGUGACAGUGGCAUCACCACUCCCGUCCGCCCAGUUUUGAAAGCGGCAAGGAGCGAAAGAGAUAGAGCACAGCCCGUGCCUCCUUCCAGCUAUCUCCCCGUCCUCCUUCCUGUCAGUGCAGCACUCCUGGAUUCAAAAGCUGACAAGGGUGGUCACAGGAAUACAGGAGAUGCAAUGAAAGGAGGGAGGAGGAGGAGGAGAGAAUCCCGUUUUUGCUGACAAGCACACCAGUGCAUGUGGUUGCAGGGCAUUUGCCAUGCUUCCCCAUUCGCCAAAAUGUGUCACGUUUGGCAGGCUGAGCACUACAGGUAUUUAUUGCCAUGGGCAUGAUGCAAAGCACAUGAUCACGGCAUGUAAAUCCCCCAUCCACUGCCUAUUGCAGCUUAAGAGUGUGGGUGGGAGGAGGUAAAAAUGCAGCUCAAUCACACAUUGUAGCGUGGGGAUAUGUAGUAUUGGAUUGUUCCGGUGUCCACCAGCGGGUGUCUACCAGUAGCAAAGAGAAAAGGGUGGUCCCUGGAAGUCGCACAUCCAAGAUGUCCUAGAAAGGUGAGGAGCAUGACAACCUCAGCCUGUACUCCAACCAGGCCACGUUCCCAACGUGUUUCUCUCCGCCCCCGGAGCUUAGUCAUGGGGAUCCCCAUGACUAAGCCCCGGGGGGGACAGAGUGAAAAAUGUUGGGGGCGUGGUCUGGUUGGAGUCCAGAUGUUGCCACUCUCUUCACCUCUCUAGGACAUCUUGGAUGUGCGACUUCCAAGGGCCACCCUUUUUUUGUUUGUACUCUUGCAGAAGCCAGGAUGGGCUCCAUCCCCUGGCUGUCAGCCCUCCAGACAGCAGCUGUGAGUGCACCAUCUGCAUACCCCCUUUUUGCUUAGCCUGAGCGGCACACACAUUUUUUUUUCCAGGUCACACUGUGUCUCCCAGUAGCCAGAAAAUCUCCACCUGAUGCUGGCUGCUGGGAAGGUAUAUACACCCUCCCAUAGUUUCCCUUACUAGCUCAGUGUUUUGUCUGUGUGCCAUGUAGCUGGUUAUUGAUGUGCUGCUCCUGACCUUGAUCCUGGUUCCUGCUGUAAACCUGUUCCAGUACCGGCAUCCUGUACCCUGCUACUUCAUAUCUGCUCUCCUUGUUCCUGAACCCAGUUCUGGCCCCCUUCCUGAUCCCUCUUCUUGCUGCUCCUGUCUAACCCUGUUUAUCCGUGUUCCCCCUUUUUGUAUACAGUAUUUAGUAUUAUAGUUAGGUUUUGUGUCCCUUGGUUUACCGUUCCUGUAUAUUGUCACAUUUCCUUGUAUUGUGUUUGCUGGUGUUGGUUGGGUUUUGCUUCAUUAAUAAAUCUUUCUUUAAUCACACAAA